GCUAAGAGCUGUGCUGCAGCCCAGAUCUUAAGGCCCAUAAGAGGCCGGCACUCUAUUGCCUAUGAUCUAUGCUGUCAGCUCUGAAAAGGGUGGAAAAGAGCUGCUGCAGGCUCGACAAGCACCUUGACAUUACUCAGUAAAGAAAGGUAUUGUGGGAGAGGGCCCUGCUACAGGUUGAGAAGAUUGGCAUAGCAAACAACCUGGAACCCCCCAGACUGGUCUGAACCCAGAUUUCAUCUUAUCUUGGCCGGUCAUUCUGGUGUAGUUUCUUUUCAUGUACAUGUAGGCACUUUUCUGCCAUUCAGUCAGCUUUCCCCACUCUUCACCAGAGAAGUAUGUAGAAAUAUCCUGGAAGGCCUGGAAAAGAAGGGAAUGAAAACUCUGGCAACUGCUCUGCUGGAUGUCUGUGCCAUUCAUCCCAGAAUGCCCUUUGUGGUGGAGGACUUAGUGGUCCACCAGAAAAUCAAGACAAUCGAUCCUGGGACAUAUGAGGGUUGAGUGAGAGACAGCCUUUUCCCCAGCCACUAUAAAUGCUCAAUGCUGCUCAUGUGUUCUCCUCCCUCACUUACAAGGGACUGAGUGUCACCAAAUGAAUGUAGGACUAGGUCACUAAUCUGAAGUCCUCAUGGAGGCUGUAGAAGGACUCAUGGAGCAUUUGUGCAUGGAGAGAAAACCUGAGACUUAUGGAGGUCCAGUGGAGACUGUAGUCCUUGUCCCAAGUGCCUCUGAUUUCCACCUUCUGGUAAGUCAUUCUACAGUGGCCCUUGGUCACUCAGCUGCUUCUGUCCACCCCACUACCCAGCCCCCUCACCUUGCAGAUAUUCUUUGGUUUAUGAAGUACUUCCAUGGGGAUCUUUUCACAGGAAAUCACUGUUUCCAUGUCAGUGUGUUUUUGAAAAGCACCAUCUUGUCUUCUUCAAGCCCAAAACUAAAUGUCCUGUGAAGGAAGGAGUUGCACAUACACAGUAAAAGUCGGUAGCUGACAUUACUUGUACUCCUCUUCACCCUGGGAUCAUCUUUCCUUGAUUAGGUCUAUGGGAGAGUUGGUGGUUAGGAAUCAAUUAGACUCUAUCAACAUGGAUAAACAUGUAUGAAGGUAUCCUGAGACUUUGAGAGUGGAUCAAGUGUCUGUCCUGAUUAAUUCCCUGAAGUUUUCAUUGAGAUUAAAGGAAAUAGAAACUUAUUGAAUUGGGCAAGCACAUGUUCGCACUCAGGCGAGGACAGUGAAAACUGAUUUAAUAGAAGAUAAGAAUGCAUCAGUUGUCACUAGAAAAUGGGUUGUGAGGAGUUCAGUAGAAGAAGGUACACCAAGCACCAAAUACAAGCAGAGAGGAAGAAUAACUCCUAGUGUUUUACAAAACCCUUUAGUGACUAGUUUGUAGCUACCUAGCGUGAGUUUGUAAGGGAGGAAGAGAAGCCAGAGUUCCCUUCUUAUGCCUGUAACACAGGGUAGUUGGGAGGCUGAGGUAGAAGGGUGGUAUGUUCAAUGCCUGUCUGAGUCAACCAUAAAGUGAGAUCUAGGACAGUCAGGGUAAUAUAUAAUUAAAUCCUGUCUCAAAGACUCAAUCAGGGUUUAAGUUGUAGCUUAGUAGUAGGAUUCUUAUGUAACAUGUGAGUGGGCCUUGCAUUAAUUCCCUAGUUUUGCC
rnacentral:lncRNA from 1 species